rnacentral:rRNA from 1 species
GAUGAACGCUGGCGGCGUGCCUAAUACAUGCAAGUCGAGCGAACGGACGAGAAGCUUGCUUCUCUGAUGUUAGCGGCGGACGGGUGAGUAACACGUGGAUAACCUACCUAUAAGACUGGGAUAACUUCGGGAAACCGGAGCUAAUACCGGAUGAUAUUUUGAACCGCAUGGUUCAAAAGUGAAAGACGGUCUUGCUGUCACUUAUAGAUGGAUCCGCGCUGCAUUAGCUAGUUGGUAAGGUAACGGCUUACCAAGGCAACGAUGCAUAGCCGACCUGAGAGGGUGAUCGGCCACACUGGAACUGAGACACGGUCCAGACUCCUACGGGAGGCAGCAGUAGGGAAUCUUCCGCAAAGGGCGAAAGCCUGACGGAGCAACGCCGCGUGAGUGAUGAAGGUCUGCGGAUCGUAAAACUCUGUUAUUAGGGAAGAACAUAUGUGUAAGUAACUGUGCACAUCUUGACGGUACCUAAUCAGAAAGCCACGGCUAACUACGUG